UACGUAGGGUGCGAGCGUUGUCCGGAAUUAUUGGGCGUAAAGAGCUUGUAGGCGGUUUGUCGCGUCUGCCGUGAAAGUCCGGGGCUCAACUCCGGAUCUGCGGUGGGUACGGGCAGACUAGAGUGAUGUAGGGGAGACUGGAAUUCCUGGUGUAGCGGUGAAAUGCGCAGAUAUCAGGAGGAACACCGAUGGCGAAGGCAGGUCUCUGGCCAUUACUGACACUGAGAAGCGAAAGCAUGGGGAGCGAACAGG
rnacentral:rRNA from 1 species